rnacentral:rRNA from 1 species
CCUACGGGAGGCAGCAGUGAGGAAUAUUGGUCAAUGGGCGGAAGCCUGAACCAGCCAAGUCGCGUGCAGGAUGACGGCCCUACGGGUUGUAAACUGCUUUUAUACGGGAAUAACGCGCCUUACGUGUAGGCCUUUGCAUGUACCGUAUGAAUAAGGACCGGCUAAUUCCGUGCCAGCAGCCGCGGUAAUACGGAAGGUCCGGGCGUUAUCCGGAUUUAUUGGGUUUAAAGGGUGCGUAGGCCGCAUGUUAAGCGUGCUGUGAAAUGUCCGGGCUCAACCCGGGCCUUGCAGCGCAAACUGGCGUGCUUGAGUCCGCGGAAAGCAGGCGGAAUGCGUGGUGUAGCGGUGAAAUGCUUAGAUAUGACGAAGAACCCCGAUUGCGAAGGCAGCUUGCUGCAGCGGAACUGACGCUGAUGCUCGAAAGCGCGGGUAUCGAACAGGAUUAGAUACCCGUGUAGUC